CUCUUUAAGAGGGCCUUGACACACGUGAUUCAUCAAAGUACCCGCAGUCAGCCGACAGGGCGCGGAAAGCUGCUUCCUACUCCCAGUGCGGAGCGGGCCUUAGCUACUGAGCAUGCCCAGAGCAGCGACGGGAGCCAGAGGAUAGCCGAGGACUUUAAGCUGCGGUUAAGCACUGAUUUCACUUCCCAGGGGCCUAGAGUGAAAUGAAAGGGAACUAGUGAAGAGAAAAGAGGUAUAGCCCAUUUUAGAGACAGGGAACCUGAGGCCCGGAAUGAUUCAAGUGUGAGUUUAACUGGCAGGUCUACCUAAGUAUCAGCUUCCACUGUUGUAGGCCGGAGCACCUUCCCCACAGAGGCCUUGCUGGGGGUGUGGUCCUGCUAGGCUCCAAGGGAGGGGUGGAUUGGAAGACAGCUGGCAUCCUAUAGGAAAACCACCGCUGGAAGUGCUAAUUAAUUGCCUAGACGGACGGUGAUAAACUACCCAAAAACAGCACAGAAGAAGAAAUACAUCCUUCCAGACAGGGUGGAUAAGGAGCCCUAAGUUUGUCUGUGGGGGAGGAGUCAAGAUGGCAGAGAUGUAGCAGGCUAAGACUACUUCAGCUAGCAGGAGAUCAGCUACAUAGCUUAUCUAAAGAUUGCAAACACCUGCAAAUCCAUCGGCAGAUUGAAGAGAAGAAGAACAGCAAUUCUAGAAACAGAAAAACAACCACUUUCUGAAAGAAAAAUCUAGGACAAAGACACACAGAGGAAGACCAUGUGAAGAUACAAGGAAAAGAUGGCCAUCUGCAAGUUGAGGACAGGGACAGAGACCUGACAAGAAAUCAACCCUGCCAAGUCUGAGACUUCCAACCACCAGAAAUGCAAGAAAAUAAAUUUUCAUUUAAGCCACGCAGUCUGUUCAUAACAACUAAUAUAGUAACUGAAAGAUUGUUUGAUCUUUCUUGGAGAUCAGGGGUGAAGUGGUUAUCAGCAGUGUCAUCAGUUUCCCAGGGCCUGAUGAGCCGAAGAGGAAGCCAUAGUGUUUCGGAGGGUCCAUCACUGGAAUCUGAGGGAAUAAGAGCAGACCCUCUGCCUUUCCUUAAUAGGAAGCCAGGGAAUCAUUCAUUAAAAGAUUUGAACCAAAUAGGAAUAGAUGCCUCAAGGGGUUGCUGUGAUUGUGAGAAGUGUUUUUCUGUCUGAAUGUCACCUUGGGUAAAUUUGAAAAAUUAAGAGUAAAUAAAGAGUGCUAAAACAUC